UACGAAGGGGGCUAGCGUUGCUCGGAAUUACUGGGCGUAAAGCGCACGUAGGUGGCUUUUUAAGUCGGGGGUGAAAUCCCGGGGCUCAACCUCGGAACUGCCUUUGAUACUGCAAAUCUCGAGUCCGGAAGAGGUGAGUGGAAUUCCUAGUGUAGAGGUGAAAUUCGUAGAUAUUAGGAAGAACACCAGUGGCGAAGGCGGCUCACUGGUCCGGUACUGACGCUGAGGUGCGAAAGCGUGGGGAGCAAACAGG
rnacentral:rRNA from 1 species